rnacentral:rRNA from 1 species
UGGGGAAUAUUGGACAAUGGGCGAAAGCCUGAUCCAGCCAUGCCGCGUGUGUGAAGAAGGUCUUCGGAUUGUAAAGCACUUUAAGUUGGGAGGAAGGGCAGUAAGCGAAUACCUUGCUGUUUUGACGUUACCUACAGAAUAAGCACCGGCUAACUCUGUGCCAGCAGCCGCGGUAAUACAGAGGGUGCAAGCGUUAAUCGGAAUUACUGGGCGUAAAGCGCGCGUAGGUGGUUCGUUAAGUUGAAUGUGAAAGCCCCGGGCUCAACCUGGGAACUGCAUCCAAAACUGGCGAGCUAGAGUAGGGCAGAGGGUAGUGGAAUUUCCUGUGUAGCGGUGAAAUGCGUAGAUAUAGGAAGGAACACCAGUGGCGAAGGCGACCACCUGGGAUCAUACUGACACUGAGGUGCGAAAGCGUGGGGAGCAAACAGG